rnacentral:rRNA from 1 species
UGGGGAAUUUUGGACGAAUUGGGCGAAAGCCUGAUCCAGCAAUGCCGCGUGUGUGAAGAAGGCCUUCGGGUUGUAAAGCACUUUUGUCCGGAAAGAAAUCCUUGGCUCUAAUACAGUCGGGGGAUGACGGUACCGGAAGAAUAAGCACCGGCUAACUACGUGCCAGCAGCCGCGGUAAUACGUAGGGUGCAAGCGUUAAUCGGAAUUACUGGGCGUAAAGCGUGCGCAGGCGGUUUGCUAAGACCGAUGUGAAAUCCCCGGGCUCAACCUGGGAACUGCAUUGGUGACUGGCAGGCUAGAGUAUGGCAGAGGGGGGUUAGAAUUCCACGUGUAGCAGUGAAAUGCGUAGAGAUGUGGAGGAAUACCGAUGGCGAAGGCAGCCCCCUGGGCCAAGUACUGACGCUCAUGCACGAAAGCGUGGGGAGCAAACGGAUUUAAUNCCCUGGGUAGUCCACG